GCCUGCCUUGUUUUCCAUUACUCUCAGCCUGCUCUCUCUCUCUCAUGGCGACGACUGGGUGGCCGUCGCUACCAACGGCACACCCAGGUAUUCUUGGGACCCUGCGCCGGCGACGAGCACCGCAAGAGCUUGUGAGGGGGCAGAGAAGAUGACAUUUCUUGCUUGAGGAUGGGAAACUUGCAGCAGCUCUAUUAGGGCUUGUUCGGUUAGCUCUCAAUCCAUGUGGAUUGAGUGGGAUUGGAUGGGUUUGAAACCCAAACAAGUCAAACCUCUUCUCAUUUUUUUCCAAUCCCAUCCAAUCCAUGUGUUUUGGGAAUAACCGAACAAGCCCUUAUUAGGAUUGGAUCCUGAGAGAUGACCGAGGCGGCGAGGUUUCAUGGUAUGAUAGGUGGUGGUGGUGGCAAGGGGAUGCAAGACAAUGUGAUCAAUGGCUUCGACAACAUUCCGUAUUACCAAAAGUUUGGGGAGGGCUCUCACAUGUCCGUAGACAGUGUCGAUGGCUUCAACCUGACCAAUUGUGCUGGUGGUUCUGUUGCCAUGUCAGUUGACAGCAGCAGUGUGGGCUCCAACGAGUCCCGCACGGUCAUACUGAAGCACCCAGGCCUCCGUGAUGCUCCGACUGCAAGCUAUUCAGUCAACAAUAGUGUCUUCCGCCCCAACCGUGUAGCCGCACACACUCUAAAUGAGGAUGCAUUGGCCCAGGUUUUGAUGGACCCAAAUCAUCCUACAGAGGUACUGAGCAGCUAUGAGCAGUGGACCAUUGAUCUGGGAAGGUUGGACAUGGGGGGUCCUUUUGCUCAAGGAGCCUUUGGAAGCUGUACCGGGGAAUAUAUAAUGGAGAAGAUGUUGCCAUUAAGCUGCUGGAGAAGUCUGAGAAUGAUCCAGAAAGAGCCCAUUCGAUGGAGCAGCAAUUUGUGCAAGAGGUUAUGAUGCUGUCUAGGCUGAGUCACCCAAAUAUUGUAAGGUUCAUAGGGGCAUGCAGGAAAUCAGUCGUGUGGUGUACUAUUACUGAGUAUGCAAAAGGUGGCUCAGUUCGGCAAUUCCUGGCAAGAAGGUAGAACAAGUCAGUGCCUUUGCGGUUGGCUGUGAAACAGGCGUUGGAUGUAGCUCGGGGAAUGACAUAUGUUCAUGCAUUGGGAUUUAUUCACAGAGAUCUGAAGUCAGAUAACCUUCUGAUUUCAGCAGACAAGUCCAUUAAGAUUGCUGACUUUGGAGUUGCUCGCAUCGAAGUGAAAACUGAAGGGAUGACACCAGAGACGAACCUACCGGUGGAUGGCACCGGAAAUGAUCCAGCACAGGCCCUAUGAUCAUAAUGUUGAUGUCUAUAGCUUUGGCAUCGUCUUGUGGGAGCUAAUAACCGGCAUGCUUCCUUUCACCAACAUGACGGCCGUUCAGGCAGCUUUUGCUGUUGUAAAUAAGGGUGCUCGUCCGGUGAUCCCUCAAGACUGCCUAUCUUCUCUAAGCCACAUUAUGACUCGCUGCUGGGAUGCGAACCCUGAAGUUCGCCCGCCAUUUACUGAGAUUGUCUGCAUGCUUGAGAGUGCUGAGAUGGAGCUCCUGAGCAACGUGCGCAAAGCACGCUUCCGCUGUUGUAUUUCUGAGCCCAUGACCACGGACUGAAGUGGAAGGUGGUGGCUAGAUGACCACAAAAUGGGUAAGAGAAUCGCAGGAGGAAAAGGAUAAAGAGCCUAUCUCGAUGUACUCGCGUCAAGUGUCAGGGUCCCUCUGAAGACCAUGGGAUUUGAGCUUGUGUGUUGUUGCAUUCUAUCUUGUGUAAGUUGCACAACUGAGUAAUCUCUUCUGAAAGUAUAGGCGAUGCUUCCUUGUAUGUUGACAAGAUCUAACUCUAAUAGAGCUUUCCUAUGUUAAUAACAUCUGCCUGUUCUUGUAAUCAGCAAGUUUGCUUGCACCA